GGAUUUGGAGAAUGGGUAAGGGUAUCCAACGGCAACAUGACUCCUCAUCGUGGUAGGGUUAGGCUGGGCGUCUGCGAGGGCGCCGUCGCCGCCGCCGCUCGCGUGUGCUCCGCGGCUCCACCUCGUCGACGGCCAUCGACGGCCUUGCUGGCGCUCGCCUCCCUCCUGGACGUCGCGCGGUUCUUUUCCCCGUCCGACAUCCGGCGGUGUCGACCCCAAGAAGGCCGGCGCGGUGCCUCCCUCCUGUACCGCUAGACUUCGCGGCUCCGGACCUCGCCGCCUGCACCUUCUCGGGCGCCACGGCUGGCUGCAGGCGGCGGCUGUUCUUGCUUGAGGACCUGAGGGAGCUCACAGGCCAGCCAACAACUCCGAUCCCUUCCCGGCGGAUUCCACAGGUGACCAAGAAGCUCCAGGCGUCGAGAUCACGCACGUGUUCAUCUCCUCACAGUGAGCCGCGGCUGGCUGCCUGGCUUAUCUGCAGGUGCUGCAAUUGAUCUGUCAUCCCUAAUUGUUGUUGAGGGAAAGGUAUGCUGGGAUCUGUACACAUUGAUGGACUUGUGGUCAGUUCUGAUGGUAACCAACUAGAUGCGUUAGCUGCUGCUAUAAAGUUUUCUCAUAGACAAUUGUUAUAGCGUCAGACUUGAAAUCACCGUCCGAUGCUUAUGAGAGGGUAUCCCCACCAAGGACAACCAGCCACACUCCUCCCUUUGAAGUGUGAGCACCCAGCAUUCUCACACUCCUUUUUGCUCCUUGACAAGCAUCUGCUUCACCAGAGGAAGAGGAUGAUAUUGUAGAUCCUCUGCUAGUGUUUUUGCAUCCACUCUGUGGACUAUGGCUUAGUUUGUCUAAUAUGUUGAAAGCUGUUGGCGGUGUGCCUGCUGAUGUGUGCACGUGGCAGCAGGGCUGCGUGGAGCUUUGCCCUUGCUGCGUUGUGUUUGCUC